AGCCUGCCGAGGACACAGGCCUGGCUGUCCGGUGCCCACAAUGUUCCAGAUGCCCACAGGACUGCACAGCAGCUCUUGGCGUGGUGGUGCACAUCUGUAAUCCCAGCACUCAGGAAGCUGAGGCAGGAGGAUCCUGCUGAAUUUGAGGCCAGCCUGGGCUACAUGGAGGAAAGAAAAUGGCCAAACGAGGGGCCUGGUGGAAAACCAGAAAAUGCUUUCUCUUUCCAAGCAGAUUGCAAAGCAACGGAGCCGAGAGACAGCGCGGGCCUCAGUACUCAUCGGGGUUGCUGGACUGUAGGUCGCGCAGGUAGGAGUCAAUGAUGUUGGGCGGCACGCCUUGCAGGAGCAGCCUGCAGAAGGACAGCCCCGCCUGCAGGGAGAGGAGGGUAGAGUCAGAGCCCAGGGACCCGAGCCAGGCUGUGCUGCGGACAUGCGACCGCUGUGGCUCCCAGAGCAACAGGCUUCCUCCAGCCCUGCUCGGAAGUCCACUGCAGGCCUCAGUACUUGGGGCACCUAAAGCGCUCGGUGUGCGGACAGGAGCGUGAAUUCCCAGCAGAGCCCUGGCCAUUUGCUUCCCCACCACUGUUCACUCUGAAGUUCUUAGAUGGUGGCAAAUGCCCCUCGCCCUGGGAGAGGUUUUGUGAUUCCUCUUUAGCUGGUUUAAAGGUCCUGCCUGCACAGCAAAAUAAAUGCUUAGGGUCGGCAGGAAGAUGGGCCUCCAGGUUGCUUAUGCUGUUUUCAUUAAGCAGGAGAAGUUCCAGUUCCAGCACACUGGAGAAGCAAAAAGACUCCCUUUCACUGUGGGCAUUUACACACUCUCAACAGCGCAAGAGCUGGAACUAUUCUGUUAAAAAUUCUAAGACAGGGCCAAUACCUUGGGAAGGCGUAGAGAAAUGCCCACUAUAUUUCAUACCUACCUUCUGAGUUUCUGAAUUACAUUUAAAAACUUAAAACCCAGGAAACCCCCAAGCUGCAUGGUCCUUUAAUAAAGUGCUUCGCAUAUUUGCUAAUAAACUCAUAGCCAG
ensembl:lncRNA